CUUGAGUUAUCUCUCAUGUCUAGACCAUUUGUGAGAAGGGAGUUUUUGUUUGCACCAAUACCCACCAAUCUCUAAAUUUAUAAGAAGUAUUAUGCUCAAUUAAGGAAAAUAGCUAGUUCAACAUACCACACUAGCCUUUUGAAAACUAUCCUAUAUGUUAGAUGCUAGCAUAGCGUAAUUUUGUGUUCUCAUGGUGCAGCAGGGUUAGUUUCUUGUGUACCUCUAGAUAUAUAUUCUCUUGCUGCGUAGGGUUCCCAAGCUGCCAAAAACUUUUUAAAAUUAGUGAUCUGUUCCCCAAACCCCCAUCCAAUAAGCAAGGUCUACCUGUAGCUGACACCUAUUAGAGCUGUGCUCGCGUCUUGGUUUUACUGUUUUAGUUACCCCAUGAAAAGCUGAUCCUUCAGAAGUUAGGGUAUAGAAGUAAGUCGAUUAAGUUCAUUCAUGACUUUUCCAGAUAUUGCAUACAUAACUUUUUCAUUUGUAUUCUUACUAGUCCAAGCCGAUUCUCGAAAUCAUUUACACCUUGGUCAUGGUAGCUAAGAAUUUUUACUUUACACUAGCUUUCCUAAUAAAUAAAAAUGGGGAGUGGGGAGGUGUUUGGUUAUAUUCCCUUCUCAUCGAUGGUCUAGAUGUGCGAGGUGACUCUCAUGGAGG